rnacentral:rRNA from 1 species
CCCCUAGAUGUUCUGGGCCGCACGCGCGCUACACUGAACAGUUCAACAAGUCUUAACCUUGGCCGAUAGGUCUGGGUAAUCUUUGAACGCUGUUCGUGAUUGGGAUAGACCUUUGCAAUUAUGGGUCUUCAACGAGGAAUUCCUAGUAAACGCAAGUCAUCAGCUUGCAUUGAUUACGUCCCUGCCCUUUGUACACACCGCCCGUCGCACCUACCGAUUGAAUGGUCCGGUCAAAUCUCGGGACGGCGGCUUGGUCGCUUGCGUCCGACUGCUGAAACUUGAUUAAACCAUAUCAUUUAGAGGAAGGUGAAGUCGUAACA